GCACCCGUAGCUCAGCUGGAUAGAGCGUUGCCCUCCGGAGGCAAAGGCCGUGAGUUCGAAUCUCGCCGGGUGCGCCA
rnacentral:tRNA from 2 species